AGGAUCAUUAACACAAAUUCAAUAAACACUAACACUUUCUUCGAAAGAAGAAGUUCUAUCUGAGUCUGAGCGUAAAAAACUCAGACUUCUUUAAUGGACCUUAUUAUAUUUCAUUCUAAAUGAAUAUAGUAUUUUCCAAAAUAAACUAAGAAAAUUUUCAACGAUGGAUAUCUUGGUUCCCAUAACGAUGAAGAGCGCAGCAAAGUGCGAUAAGCAAUGCGAAUUGCAGAAUUCCGCGAAUCAUCAGAUCCUUGAACGCAACUGGCGCUAGGAGGCUCCCCUCCUAGCAUGUCUGUUUCAGUGUCUGAAAACUUCAUAAAUAUAAACCUUAGUGCAGUUGACGGGAAUUUGAAUUAAUUCAAAAGCUCUCGUCUCCUGUUAAAGAUGUACAUGUGGGUCUUUGGACUCCUCAUCGGAUUGGUCACUGUUUCAGUGAUUUCGAUAGGACGUUUUCAAUUACUCGUAUAC
rnacentral:misc_RNA from 1 species